rfam:Triticum aestivum genome assembly, contig: Triticum_aestivum_CS42_TGACv1_scaffold_643918_T_7BL-0.205921_7AL-0.105515
AAUAUACUCCCUCUGUCCCAAAAUUCUUGUCUUGAAUUUGUCUAAAUACGAAUGUAUCAAGUCACAUUUUAGUAUUAGAUACAUCCGUAUCUACAAAAAUCUAAGACAAGAAUUUUGGGACGGAGGGAGUACAAA